rnacentral:misc_RNA from 1 species
AGCAGCCGCGGUAAUUCCAGCUCCAAUAGCGUAUAUUAAAGUUGUUGCAGUUAAAAAGCUCGUAGUUGAAUUUCGGGAUUGACACAUCGGUCGUGCCUUAAGGGGUAUGAACUGGUGUAGUCAAUUUCUCACCUUCUGGAGAACCGCGAUGCCCUUAAUUGGGUGUCGCGGGGAACCAGGACCUUUACUUUGAAAAAAUUAGAGUGUUUAAAGCAGGCAUUUUGCUUGAAUACAUUAGCAUGGAAUAAUAAAAUAGGACGGCAUGAUUCUAUUUUGUUGGUUUCUAGGAUCACCGUAAUGAUUAAUAGGGAUAGUUGGGGGCAUUAGUAUUCAAUUGUCAGAGGUGAAAUUCUUGGAUUUAUUGAAGACUAACUACUGCGAAAGCAUUUGCCAAGGAUGUUUUCAUUAAUCAAGAACGAAAGUUAGGGGAUCGAAGACGAUCAGAUACCGUCGUAGUCUUAACCAUAAACUAUGCUGACUAGGGAUCGGAUGAUGUUAAUUCUUU